rnacentral:rRNA from 1 species
GGUUGAUCCUGCCAGUAGUCAUAUGCUUGUCUCAAAGAUUAAGCCAUGCAUGUCUAAGUAUAAGCACUUGUACUGUGAAACUGCGAAUGGCUCAUUAUAUCAGUUAUAAUUUAUUUGAUAGUACCUUACUACUUGGAUAACCGUGGUAAUUCUAGAGCUAAUACAUGCAGCAAAACCCGACUCUUUGGAGGGUUGUAUUUAUUAGAUAAAAAACCAAUGCCAGCAAUGGCUCCUGGUGAUUCAUAAUAACUUGUCGGAUCGUAUGACCUUGUGUCGACGACGUGUCAUUCAAA